AUUUUAUGUCUACCGUGAAUACAGUAAAUAAUAAUAAACGAAGCCUGUCGUAUUCCAUUAAUUCCUCAGGCGUGAAAAUAACAAUGCACGGUCCUGAUCACCGAAACACCGCGAUUUUAUCAUUUUUCAGUUAAAUACAAUUAUACACAAUUAGAUUCCUCGAUUCACUCGGUACAAGGAUGUUUGCAUUACAUACUCGUUUGACCGGCUUCGUUUAUGGUAUUUAAUAUGAACAGAAUUAUCUACCGUCGAUCACUUACGGUGAUACCGAGGAAACGAUUAACGGAUAUCACUCGCGAUCACAGAUGAUUCUAUUACGGGUAUUUCCAACGUUAUUUUCAUACGGCCAUUAGAAAUGAAAAAAUAAUCCUCGAGGUGAUAUGCAACAAAGAGCAGGGGCUUGUUAAACUCAUUAGCAGAAACUCAUAAACUCUGAAAAAGGCUUUGAAUACAUUAUUAACCAGCUUGUUUCGUUCUCACGACUAAUACCGAAAGAAUUCACGAGGAACGCGUUUGUAUCUCGCCGUGAAGGUCAAGAGUGAUUAUCAAGAAUUUUUGGUUAAUUGCAGUUUACUAAUUGACGAGACGCUAUGAUUACAAUUAUUGAAAUUAAAAUUAUAAAUUUCUAAGUUUGAUUGUAUAAAAAGAAAUGUAAUGAAUAUUCUCUUGUAUAUCCUGACAUGGAAGUUUAUAAUUUUAAUAAUUGUAACAAUUACACGCUUGUACGAGAUGGUGGUCUGAUUAUCUUAGAAUUCUGUAUAUUAAAAAUUAAUAUUUCUGCAUUGAAACGUUUAACAAAUAAAUAAACGAUGCUUGUCAGGAUUAUACGUGUUAUAAUAUUUAUUUUGACAUAUACCUUUUGAUACUUUCUAGUAUUUUGGCAUCCAGUUGCUUGAGUACUGUUAAUAUAUUCAAUAUUGAUUCACGUUCGCUGUAACAAAGAAUUGGAAGUAUUGAUGUACGUUUAUUGCAGAAUAUCGAUACAUAAUGUUACAUAACAACGUAUGCUUCGCGCGUACAUUAUAAAACGCGGUUUUUAUUGGGAAAAUGAUACAAUCCUUUUUAUUUUGAGAUAAACGUACGAGUUUGGCAAUAUUUGCGAACGGAGCGAGAUGCGUGCAGUAAAUUAACUAUCAACCGUCAACAGAAACACGCUUCCAGCAAAGAUAGGCAAAAUUCUUAUCUAAAUAAAAAUCUCGAAUAACAAAUAUAAAAUAAACAAUUUCCAAAUGAUUACUAAUUCAUUAUAAAAUAAAAUAGAAUUAACGUCGUACGAGUAAACAUUGAUUAGAACAGCUCACUCGAAUAAACAAUGUGAAUAAAUCACUACACGGUAUUCCCAUUCGUCAUGUAUUAUUUAAUCAAAUUUUGCCCAUCUCUAAUUUAAAAAAAAAAAAAAGAAAA